UACGUAGGGUGCAAGCGUUGUCCGGAAUUAUUGGGCGUAAAGAGCUCGUAGGUGGCCUGUCGCGUCGGCUGUGAAAACUCGGGGCUCAACUCCGAGCUUGCAGUCGAUACGGGCAGGCUAGAGUUCGGCAGGGGAGACUGGAAUUCCUGGUGUAGCGGUGAAAUGCGCAGAUAUCAGGAGGAACACCGGUGGCGAAGGCGGGUCUCUGGGCCGAAACUGACGCUGAGGAGCGAAAGCGUGGGGAGCGAACAGG
rnacentral:rRNA from 1 species